rnacentral:rRNA from 1 species
UACGGAAGGGGCAAGCGUUGUUCGGAAUCAUUGGGCGUAAAGGGCGCGUAGGUGGUUCUGCAUGUCUACCGUGAAAGCGUACGGCUCAACCGUAUUUUGUCGGUAGAAACUGCAGGACUUGAGGCUGGGAGGGGCUGGUGGAAUUCCCUGUGUAGCGGUGAAAUGCGUAGAGAUGGGGGAGAACACUCGUGGCGAAGGCGGCUCUCUGGGACGGUACUGACGCUGAGACGCGAAAGCGUGGGGAGCGAACAGG